UAAGGACAAACAAUUAAUUUAGGAUGAAAGACUAGGAUUUCUUAUAAAAAUUUGAUUGGAGUAAUUACAUUGAAAAUCAUGUUGGGGACCCAUAGGGUCCCGGGUGAUCCAUAGGACCCCCCGGGUCCUAUUCGUAGGAUCACCCCUUUAUCAGCCCUUACCUGCCAAAAAGGGGAAAAAGAAAAAACGAAAACCAAAAGGGGAUCAGGGGAAUCCUACGAAUUCCCGGGGACCCCCCGUUCGGGGGGUCCUUCCGUACCCCUUUUUGGCGUGGGGGAGAAAAAAACUGGAAACUGAAACAUCUUAGUACCAGAAUAAAAAAUCAACCGAGAUCCCAAAAGUAGUGAGAACGAAAAUGGGGAAAUUUAUCGAACAAAGAGGGUAAAUAUUUAACAGUCCCGUAGAUAGAACAUAUGAAAAAGGAGAAAACUAGGGCCUACCGGGGACCCAGUGGGUCCCCCGAUGAAAUAGACGUCAAUUGGGGCCCCGCCCCCUUUUUCAAAAAAAAAAGAAAUACCGAUAGUGAAAUAGUACUGUGAAGGAAAGUUGAAAGAGAGUUGAAAUAGAACCGGAAAUCCUAAAAAAAAAGCAGUAGGUCUAUAGAGCCUGCGUACCUUUUGCAUAAGUGGUUCGCAAGUUUUUAAUUUGGCAAACUUGAACCGUAAGGUUGAGGUGUUACGAAAGUGAAAAAAAGUCAAAUGAACCCGAAACCAAGUGAUCUACCCCUGAUCUGGCGUGGGCGAAGGGUCCAAAAGGGCUCCGUGCCGCGGCCUAACCGGUGGAUGUGGCAAAAUCCUCGGAUGAAUUGGGGGUAGUGGUGAUACGCCAAUCGCACUUGGAUAUAGCUGGUUUUCUGCGAAAACUAUCUAAGUAGUGCCGACACUCCCUUUUUGUCGAGUCAGACAUAGGACGAUAAGGCCCUAUGUCUAAUGGGAAACAACCCAAAUCAUUAGUUAAGGACAUUAAUAAACCUAUAAGUGUAAAAGAAGAAAAAUAAUAAAGACAACGAGUUAAUAGGCCUUGCACCAGCUAUUUAAUAAAGAGUUCGUAAUAGUUCACUCGAUAAAUUAUUUUUCUUUUAAAAUUUUGGUGGCUUAAAAAAAAAUAAAAGGAGGAAUCCAGAGGACUUCUCCGCAAAAAAAAAGGAACGGAAGGACCCCCGAACGGGGGGUCCCGUCCCCCCCCCCCGCCAUCUUUUGGCGGGUCCUCCAUUUCAAAAGAAUUACAAAAAAAAUUCCGAAACUAUGAAAAGAAAAACCCGAGACGGAGGAUGGAGCCAUAGGCGCUUCCCAAACCCCCCCCGUUUUUUGGUUUUUUUAUUGGUAGCAGAACGUAUAGUAAAAAAUAAAAAUUCGAAAAGAAAAAUCUAUAGAGAUAAUGCGAACAUGAGUAACGAGGGAUCUGAAGGAUCCGGGCCUAAGGUUUCCAAGGGGCCUUUUUUGUUGGCCCCGGGUGAACCAGUCCCUAAUAACUAAAUAAAAGGGGGGAGUCCAUCGGAUUCCCCUUUUUUUAUAUUUUUAGCUACGGGGUUUUAAUCUAAAAUACUGAUUAAUAGCCCAGGAAAUAAUUAGAAUUUAUAUGACUGUACUAAAAUCUAACAAAAGUGGGCAAAAAAAAAAGGAGAAUUAUUAUUAAGGAACUCGGCAAGUUACACGUGUAAGAUUUCGAGAAACGUGAAAAACCCUUUAUGAGAAGGAAGCUUCCAAAAGAGUUUUUUUAAGAUAAAAGGGAGCCUCGCCUGUUUACCAAAAACAUAGUUUUCAGCUAUUAACGCAAAAGCUUCGUAUUGAAAAUGAUGCCUGCCCAAUGAUUGUAUCUGAAAGGAAAGAAGGGGGGGAGGGCCCCCCUUCGGGGGGGCCCUCCUGAGUGCUUAGCUUUCUAUAAGGACAAUUGAAUGGCCGCGGUAACUCUGACCGUGAUAAUGUAGCGAAAUCACUAGCCAGUUAAUUGCUGGCCUGUAUGAAUGGCUAAACGAGGGCUCCACUGUCUCAAUAAUAAACCUAGUGAAAUUGAAAUAACAGUGAAGAUGCUGUUUAGGAAUUCUAAGACGAGAAGACCCCAUUGAGCUUUACUAUUAACUUGUAUUGCCAGAGCAAAAAAGGGAACCCCAAAGGUUCCCGGGAUCCAACGGAUCCCUUAGGUACCCUGUCCUUUGCUUCAUAAUAAAAUUGUGAAGACUAAGUGGAAAAAGAUAAAACAAGGGAUUAAAAAAAAACGGGUCUCUGGGCCCCGGCUCUCAAAAGGCCCCUUGGCUUCUUGUCCCAAUUUAUAUGAAAAACCACUCUUUUUAUUAAGAUUACUGUCUAAAACCGUACAAGUAAGAUAGUUUGGUUGGGGCGACCGCCUUCGAAAAAGUAUCGAAGGCGCACAUAAGAUUAGUCCGGAGGGGGGUCCUACGGAUCCCCCUCCCGGGGGCAAUGCCCCAAAAAAGAUUAGUUUGACUGAAAGGGCUACAACCCGAACAGGCGCCUGGGGAUGGGGGGCGAUCCUUCGGAUCGCCCGGGUCCCCCUUUUGGCGGGUCAUAGUGAUCCGUUGUUAUAUUGUGGGAUUGACAACGAUCAACGAAGAAAAGUUACCAUGGGGAUAACAGCGUAAUAUCGUUUAAGAGUACCUAUCGCUGACGAUGUUUGCGACCUCGAUGUUGAAUUGUGAUAUCCUGGAGGUGCAGCAGCUUCCAAGGGUUGGACUGUUCGUCCAUUAAAAUCAUACAUGAUUUGAGUUCUAGACCGGCGUGAGCCAGGUCGGUUUCUAUCUAGAAUUCAAAAAUAAACAAAGACCAGUUUACCUUCUAGUACGAAAGGAUCGAAGGGUUUAUAUCCUCUGGUGAUUCAAUCCGAACACGAGAUCUUAGAAGGUCUUUUGGGGGAUUUUUUGGUUCCCGUUGUUGAGUAGCUACGAUAUAAAGAAUAAUUGCUGAAUGCAACUCAAGUAAGAAAUCUUUGGUUUGAAAAUUUUUAGUUGCGGGCGGGUCCGUUCGGGGGGUCCCGGGGCGCCGACGACUGGCGCCCCCCUCCUGGCUAAAAAAUUUGUUUAAAAACAAUUGGGGUAGAUCACCCCGGUUU
rnacentral:rRNA from 1 species